rnacentral:rRNA from 1 species
UGGGGAAUUUUGGACAAUGGGGGAAACCCUGAUCCAGCCAUCCCGCGUGUGCGAUGAAGGCCUUCGGGUUGUAAAGCACUUUUGGCAGGAAAGAAACGUCGCGGGUUAAUACCCCGCGAAACUGACGGUACCUGCAGAAUAAGCACCGGCUAACUACGUGCCAGCAGCCGCGGUAAUACGUAGGGUGCAAGCGUUAAUCGGAAUUACUGGGCGUAAAGCGUGCGCAGGCGGUUCGGAAAGAAAGAUGUGAAAUCCCAGAGCUUAACUUUGGAACUGCGUUUUUAACUACCGGGCUAGAGUGUGUCAGAGGGAGGUGGAGUUCCGCGUGUAGCAGUGAAAUGCGUAGAUAUGCGGAGGAACACCGAUGGCGAAGGCAGCCUCCUGGGAUAACACUGACGCUCAUGCACGAAAGCGUGGGGAGCAAACAGGAUUAGAUACCCUGGUAGUCCACGCCCUAAACGAUGUCAACUAGCUGUUGGGGCCUUCGGGCCUUGGUAGCGCAGCUAACGCGUGAAGUUGACCGCCUGGGGAGUACGGUCGCAAGAUUAAAACUCAAAUGAAUUGAC